AAAGUCCCGUCCGGGGAAUUAUCCGUUCACCCCGGUAGUUCAAGGGAGCGGCGUCUGAGCAAUCAGGGGUCGUAAGUUCCCAAUUGGCAAAACCGCAGGCCGCAGCGCAAGCGAACCUACAAGUAGCCUCGUCAAUACAAAUUGAAGAUGCCGACCCCGUGGACACGUGGGGAAGGCCGAAGAUUGCAGACUCAGGCAACGGAAGGAGUCUGUAAUAUCUUCCGGGGUAGCAGGGGC
rfam:Candidatus Brocadia fulgida BROFTL_contig000183, whole genome shotgun sequence.